UACGUAGGUGGCAAGCGUUGUCCGGAUUUACUGGGCGUAAAGAGCGCGCAGGCGGUCGUUCAAGUCGCGUGUGAAAGCCCCCCGGCUCAACUGGGGAGGGUCACGCGAUACUGAUCGACUCGAAGGCAGGAGAGGGUAGUGGAAUUCCCGGUGUAGUGGUGAAAUGCGUAGAUAUCGGGAGGAACACCAGUGGCGAAGGCGACUUCCUGGCCUGUUCUUGACGCUGAGGCGCGAAAGCUAGGUAGCAAACGGGG
rnacentral:rRNA from 1 species